UUUUUGGUGGUUCCAGCAUUUUUCUGUCAGUGGUUGUUCAGCAAUUAGUUGAUUUUGAUGUUUCCAUAAGAAGAUGUGAGCUCAUGUCCUACUCUGCCAUCUUGUCACCAGGAUCAUCAUUUUUUAAAUAGACUUUAUUUUUAGAGCAAACUGAAGUUCACAGCAAAACUGAGCAGAAGAUACAGAGAUUUCAUACUUAACUACUGCCCCCACGUAACGCAUAUACCCUCCCACACCGUCCACAUCCUGAAGCCCUAGGAUUUUGAAGCACGUAAAAGUCACCCUCAAGUGAGCAUAGUGAUAAACAGUUGAUCAAAAGCUACCUUGGAAGUUCUGGCUCUGGCUCUCAAACAAUCUGAGGGUGUCAGCAGCAGCAACAGUAGCAACAGUGGCAGUGGCAAACCCACAGACACCUAAGAUUCUGAGGAAAGGGAACCUUCGUGUACAAUCAGAGGAGCUGUGGUCCCAAGAGGAUGUGGACUUUCUGAUCCAUGUUUCUGGAGCCUGAUUUGUGAAAUCUAUCCCUGACCUCAAGUACAGCCUGCCCAAGUGAUACAGUUAGACACUUUCUUCUCCCCUUUUCCAAUGUACGUAUAUCUCACUUUUAAAAUUUAUCACGCUGUCCUGUAGUUUGUAACUGUCACUUAGUUCUGUUCUCCUUUUUUGAGACAGUGUCUUGAGUGUGGAUCACAUUGUGUAUUCCCAUCGCCAAACGCAGAGCCUGGAACAGGUAGAAUGUUUAUUGAACAGGUAG